CCUACGGGGGGCAGCAGUGAGGAAUAUUGGUCAAUGGGCGUAAGCCUGAACCAGCAACGUCGCGUGAGGGAUGAAGGUUCUCUGGUUCGUAAACCUCUUUUAUAAGGGUAUAAAGUGCGGGACGUGUCCCGUUUUGUAUGUACCUUAUGAAUAAGGAUCGGCUCACUCAGUGCCAGCAGCCGCGGUAAUACGGAGGAUCCGAGCGUUAUCCGGAUUUAUUGGGUUUAAAGGGUGCGUAGGCGGCCUUUUAAGUCAGCGGUGAAAGUCUGUGGCUCAACCAUAGAAUUGCCGUUGAAACUGGGAGGCUGGAGUAUGUGUGAGGCAGGCGGAAUGCGUGGUGUAGCGGUGGAAUGCUUAGAUAUCACGCAGAACCCCGAUUGCGAAGGCAGCCUGCCAAGCCAUGACUGACGCUGAUGCACGAAAGCGUGGGGAUCAAACAGGAUUAGAUACCCUAGUAGUC
rnacentral:rRNA from 1 species